GGAAGGGGUCCAGUUUCAAUUUUCUACAUAUGGCUAACCAGUUUUCCCAGCACCAUUUAUUAAAUGAGGGAUUCUUUCCCCAUUACUUGUUUAGUCAGGUUUGUUGAAGAUCAGAUUUUUGUAGAAGUGCAGUCUUAUUUCUAAGUUGGUCAAUGUUUUACCAGUUUUUGCAUGCAUUUGUGUGUGUGUGUGUGUGUGUGUGUGUGUGUGUGUGUGUGUAUGUGUGUGAUUGUUUGUAGUUCCAUCACCACAAAGGAACUUCCUUGUUCUCUCCAUGUAUAUUCAUAUCUCCUCUCCUCCUGGAAACUACUUAUCUUUUCUCCAUCUGUAUAAUUUUAUCAUUUUGAGGAUGUUAUUAAGUGUAGUCAUACAAUAUGCACUUAAUACUCGGUAUGUAACUUUUGAGAUUGGCUCUUUUCCCUCCACUGAACGUAAUGUUCUUGAGAUCCAUCCAAGUUUUCUCAUGUGUCAAUAGUUUGUUCCUUUUCAUUUCUGUGUAGCAUUCUAUUGUAUGAAUGUGACAUAGUAUGUUUAAUCAUUCAUCUAUUGAGAGACAUUUGGGAUGUUGCUAGUGUUGGGUUAUUAUGAAUAAUGCUGUCAUGAACAUUCAUGUACAGGUUUAAUGUAAACAUAGGUUUUUUUUUUCUAUUGGAUAAAUGAACAAAAGAAUAAUUGUCGGGUCAUAAGGUAAGUAGUUUAGUUUUAUGAGAAACAGGCAAACAACAACUUCUUCUUCUCCUUCUCCUCCUCCUCCUCCUCCUCCUUCUUUUCUUCUUCUUCUUUCUUCUUCUUUUUUUUGCAGAAUGGGGUUUUGAAUGUUUGGGAGGAAUACCAAAUCCAUGAUGUGAAGCUCUUUGUAGUUUGUUUUAGACAAGGAUUUGCAUCCUGCUCUGAAAGACCAUUGUAUAGUGGUCAGUUAGCUCUUAAGCAAUGAGUAUGUUGAGUAUCCACAUCUCACUGUGCUUUUAGUAUUUUCUAUAAUGACUCUUGCUACUUUACUGAGGCUAUGAUCUGCAGAGCCAGUCAUAGGGGUAAGCUAUAAAGUAUUUUUAGAAUAACUCAAAUUUUUUACUUGUAUUUCUAAAAUAACAUGAAGGAGACACAUAGCUCACCCCAAUGUUUCAUAUAAAUUCCCAUUUCCUCUCUAUUCAGCUGCCCUUGUACCUGUGACUCUUUUAUUCCCCUUUAAGAUGCUGUACCUUCUUACCAACUGAUCUCUUACCUUGUCCAUUUCUCUCUACCACAGACUUCUCCUAAGAAUUUCCUCUUCUCAUUUUUGCCUUUUUAUUCUGUUGAUCAUGUUGCCAUUCCUAGUCCCACUACUUGGCUGAUUCUGCAUCAUAGAAGCUAGCUUAACAGCAUAUUAUCGUGGAUGUGAAUAUAUUCCCUAUAUUUGAGUAGGGAAUAUGAUCACGAGUUCUAUAGUCUCUUUCCAAAAACAUUUUUUAGAGACAAGUCUUUUCUCCUGAAUAUUUGUUUUGUUUGGAACAUCUCUGCUCUUACUCUGAAUCACAGUGACAUUAUUCAGGGGGUAUCUAGGGACACCCUGGAUAAUCUGCUUUUUGAUCACAUCCUGUGACCUCUUUUUAUUCCCUGUUCUGGCCAGAAAUUAUUGUGUCCAUUUUUUUUUCAGGCCAGCUAAUAUUUGAGGACUAGAAUAUCUUUUCAGGUAUCUUAUUAGUUAGAAAUAAAUGAUUGGCUCUAACUAUGACAGAUAGGAAUCUGUUGUUCACAAGCAGUCAUCCCAAGGAAACAAAGCUCUGAAGGCCCCCAGAAGUAUUUUUAAGAAGUGGGAAGCUGCUCUUGAAUUUAUUGCUUUUGUUUAGAAGGAAAGGAUGAGAGAGAGAGAGAGAAAGGUCAGCAGCAUGAAUACUGGGCAGGGGACUUCAGAGCCAUUUGCUCUGCUACUGAUUUUGUAGCUGUCUAUCAAGAAGUCUCUUGUGCCUUUGAGCAGUUCAUUUUAUCAGAUUUCCAUCAUCUGUAAAGUGUAGCAGCUGGAUUGAAUUUUUCAGUCUCUAAAAUUUUGGUAUCAGUGAUUCACAGAUAGAGAGAAAGUAAAUGAAUUGCCUAAAGUUACGUGAUUUACCCAUGGCAGAGCCAGCACUCACCCCGCUAGGUCCUUAUAGUUCUUGCCUUGUAUAUGGGUAGUACAUUAGCUGAGUGUAGUUUGGACACUUUCUGUGCUUUCUGAGUGGACUCCUCACUAAUCCAUCUUUAGUCAAUCAAGCACUCUUGGUUAUUACUUAAAGUGAUGACAUUCUAAGAAUUUUUAGGUUCUUUAGUUGGUUUCCUUUUUUUGACCUGUUGGUGAGUUUUUGCCAAUCUCAUGUGACAAAGAUUGUGAAAGUCCUAAAUAAUGUUCUCUAAGAUCUUAAUGCAAAUUGGUAUUCUACUUCUCUUCUUAGAGACAUUAGCUCCACUGGAGGAAGAAGACACAAAUGCUUAUUUCAUCUUAAAAGUCAGUUAUCUUGCCUUACAACAUAAAGUAGUAUUUUCCGCAUUAAAUUAUUUGAGUUUCACCUUGACAUUUUUUCUCCUGUUUGUCCCACCCACCCCACUGUUAUUUCAUUAAUAUUUUUCUUUAAAUGAACUUACUUUAUUUUACUUAAGUAAAAAAUUUGAUAACUCUGAACUCACAGCUUGAUUUAUGAUGUUGUUUCCAAUUCACUUUAAAGUAAUAAACUAUAUAUAAAGCUUUCUUGUACCAUCUGAAACCUUCUCAUGUGUACAUACAAUACUUUGGGAAACUGCGUAAGACCGUCUGGGUCUGAUGGUUGAAUGGUAAGAGAAGGGAGGAAUAAAAAAAUGAGAAACAAAAAUGAUACUAUUACAAGCUUAUAAGCCAUAUGGGUAAGAAAUUAGAAUGGAAACAUGAGUUUGUAAAGACAGAUAAAUGAAUUUCCUUGACUUCAAGCCCCUAUUAUUGUCAAGAUAAUGUUGUGCAUGUAAAGAAGGAAGUCUAACAAAAUGGCAUUCCAUUCUGGGGCUUAAAUGCUUGCCCUUGCUUCUUUUUUAUGACUCUUGCUUUAUUGAAUAGCACUGGGGUCAUAAGGCCCCAGUAGAUGUAAAUGCUAUGCUAUACAUCUUGUCAGGAAGGCCAGCCUUUGUGUCAGGAGGAGGAAUUCUUGUCCUUGUUGCAAGAAGGUAAAACAGGCAGAAGCGAAUGAGGUCAGAUUUAGAUUGCCAAGCCUUGGGUGGGACUCUUGGAGGUCGGAACACAGACAAAGGGUAACAGGAAAGCCUGAUUAAGAGCAAGAGAUGGGUAGGGCUGGCUUCAUGGGCAUGUGACCAUGUGAACUUGUGGUUGCACAAGUUCCUAUGUCUAGAAGGGCCCUGAACUUGGCUUAAUGCUCUGCUGUCACUGUCUUGAAAUUCUUCUUAAUUUUUAAAUGAGGAACCUUGUGUUUUUAUUUUGCUCUGGGCCCUGUAAACUAUGUAGCCAGCCCUUGGUAUGGGGUAGACAGAUGCUAUGGAAGACUUUGUGGUUUAGGUUCAUGGGGUAGAGAGAACUGGAAGAGUGAUAACUAGAUAAUAAGUUGCAAAAAAGAAAAAGGUUUCAGCCACUUACUGAUGGUGUCUCUUCUGAUUGACCUUAGUUUAUAGAUUAAAGAAUUUAGCAUUGGACUCCAGGAUUCUUUUUGCCUUAAAUUCCUAGGCUGCCUGACUAACUUCCUUCCAUCGUUAUGGAGUAGUAGAAGAAAUGGCAAAUUAUAUCUGGAAAACAUGGACAAUGGAGUGAAUAGAUCUCUGAGAACUUGAAAAAAUUAUGUAGUAAGUUUGUUCCUGAAGAGUUAAAUUGUAAAACCAACUCAUAGUGGAUUAAGUAGGGGCUUGCAUGUAAAUAUCCACAAAGGGUGGCUUUAAGACAACAGAGAGUGAUGGGCAGUAGGGUGAUGGUGGACAUCCAAGGAAACACAGCAUGUUUAAAGGAAAAUCUGUAUUGAAUUUCAGCCUAUAAUUGCCAAGUUAUGUUCAGUCAUGUUAUUGUUCCUUAUAGCUAAAAACCUUCCAGGUUUUUUAGGAGUAGCUGGAAAUCUGGAUUUUUGACUGUGAUAUUUUUCAAUUAUAUAAAAAAAACGCAACUAUGUGGACUAUGAAUGAGUUGAAUUCAUUUUAAUCCUUAAGUGGACUUUUUGAAAACUUCUUUUCUGAAGAUUAAGAAGUGACCAUUCAAAUUACUGUUUUAGGGAGGGAGUCAUAGCAGUAUGAGGCCAUCCCUAGUAAGGAGAUAGAGUUAGAGUUGCCAGUGGAUAUUGCAGAUUAUGAUACUGCAGGAGCUCUAAAUUUUCUAUAUCGGAGAGUCUUGGGGUUGAAAAGGGGCUUGCUUUUGAGAGCUUAAUGCUAUGGUUUGAUUGUGUCCCCAGAUUUCAUGUAUUGGAAAUUUAAUCCCCAAAUUUAUAUGUUGAUGACAUUCGGAAGUGAGGCCUUUGGAAGAUAAUUAGGAUUAGAUAAAGUCAGCAGGGUGGGCCUCCCAUGAUGGGACUGGUGGCUUUAUAAGAAGAGGAAGAAAGACCUGAACAGAACUUGCCUUCUCACCAUGGGAUACCCUCUGCUAUUUUAUGACAUGACAGGAAGGCCCUCACCAGAUGCUGGUGCUAUGCUCUUUGACUUCCCAGCCUCCAGAACCGUUAUCUUUAUUGUUUAUAAAUUACCCAGUCUGUGGUAGUUGGUUAUAGUGACAGAAAACAGACUAAGACAACUUAUUUUGGAGUUAUGUUUCAGACUCAUUGUUUUUACUUAGAUUAUAUGAUGUAGUCAUAAGAAAUAGCCAACCUUUCUAGUACAUUUUUCCCACACCUUAUAUGUGAUUGAAAAACCAGCAAUUGCCCAUCUCUAGGAGUGGGUGGGGAACUCUCAGGACUGCUGGAGUCUAAGGGGAUAUUAAAAAAAAGAGUUCUCACACCCUCAGACCAGUCUUUUGCCUACCACUCUUAUGGUUUAUUGUUAAAACAAGGUCAUCAGUAUUAUGGAUACAUCAGGCCUUCUUAGCCUGAUAUUAUUAAACAUGCAGUUUAUUUUGUGAUUUCCCCAUGAUUGUGUGCUCACCUUCUGAAUAUGAUUUGACUUCCCAACUGGAUUGGUCAGAGGGAGGGAAUGGGUAGGUCCUGCAGUUUAAAAUAUAGGUGUUUCUGUGACUAUUGUUAAUUAUAACUUAAUAAAUUGACAUUCUAGUGUACAGCAGUCUUGUGACUGUGGUUAGUGAAUUUGCCAGUGAAAUUUCAAAUGUCUUUGGUCAGCUGACAUACUCAGUUUUGAACUUGGGCAGCUCAGAAGCAGACCGUAGACUAUAGCAAAC